rnacentral:rRNA from 1 species
CAAUAGCGUAUAUUAAAGUUGUUGCAGUUAAAAAGCUCGUAGUUGGAUUUCGGGGCAGCCUGGCUGGUCCGCCGCAAGGCGAGUACUGGUCAGCCGCCCUUCCUCUCGAAAGCCCCGACUGCUCUUUAUUGCAGUGGUCGGGUAGUUCGGGACGUUUACUUUGAAAAAAUUAGAGUGUUCAAGGCAGGCCUACGCCUGAAUACAUUAGCAUGGAAUAAUGGAAGAGGACCUCGGUCCUAUUUUGUUGGUUUCCAGGACCGAAGUAAUGAUUAAGAGGGACAGUUGGGGGCAUUCGUAUUUAAUUGUCAGAGGUGAAAUUCUCGGAUUUAUGAAAGACGAACAACUGCGAAAGCAUUUGCCAAGGAUGUUUCCAUUAA